CAUUACUCAAUCAAAUUGAGCUAAUUAACAAUCAUAUUGUUAAUUAAUAAUUUUUUAAUUUAUUAACCAUUAGUAAAUAAUUAUUACGAUCUUUUGCAUAGAAUUAAUCAUCAAUCAAAUUGAUAAUUAAAUCUUUCAACGAUUCAUAAUCGUUGAUCAGCCAUUUGAUCAGACAGGUACUUUUAUAUGUGUGACCCCAUAGGUUUGAACCUAAACCGGUAGCAUAAGAAUAAUUUUUAUACUAAUCGAUGUAACCAUCUAGCAAUG
rnacentral:lncRNA from 1 species